rnacentral:tRNA from 1 species
GGAGAGGUGCCAGAGUGGUCGAAUGGAGCUGACUGCUAAUCAGUUGUCCUGGUAACGGGACCCAGGGUUCAAAUCCCUGCCUCUCCGCCA